AAUCCAUAGGUUAAUGAGGCGAACCGGGGGAACUGAAACAUCUAAGUACCCCGAGGAAAAGAAAUCAACCGAGAUUCCCCCAGUAGCGGCGAGCGAACGGGGAGGAGCCCAGAGCCUGAAUCAGCAUGUGUGUUAGUGGAAGCGUCUGGAAAGGCGCGCGAUACAGGGUGACAGCCCCGUACACAAAAGCGCAUGUGCUGUGAGCUCGAUGAGUAGGGCGGGACACGUGGUAUCCUGUCUGAAUAUGGGGGGACCAUCCUCCAAGGCUAAAUACUCCUGACUGACCGAUAGUGAACCAGUACCGUGAGGGAAAGGCGAAAAGAACCCCGGCGAGGGGAGUGAAAAAGAACCUGAAACCGUGUACGUACAAGCAGUGGGAGCCCCACCACCAAAGCAUUUGCUGUACCGCGUUGACGGAGCGAAGCGACGUCAAACCGAUAAAACAGCAGUGUAAAGUGAGCCGCAGGGCGCUUUGCGCGACAGCGCAAAGGCAGGCGGUUUCGCGUAGCGAAAGCGAAUGCUUUGGGGUGGGGUGACUGCGUACCUUUUGUAUAAUGGGUCAGCGACUUAUAUUCUGUAGCAAGGUUAACCGAAUAGGGGAGCCGGAGGGAAACCGAGUCUUAAUUGGGCGUUAAGUUGCAGGGUAUAGACCCGAAACCCGGUGAUCUAGCCAUGGGCAGGUUGAAGGGUGGGUAACACUAACUGGAGGACCGAACCGACUAAUGUUGAAAAAUUAGCGGAUGACCUGUGGCUGGGGGUGAAAGGCCAAUCAAACCGGGAGAUAGCUGGUUCUCCCCGAAAGCUAUUUAGGUAGCGCCUCGUGAAUUCAUCUCCGGGGGUAGAGCACUGUUUCGGCUAGGGGGCCAUCCCGGCUUACCAACCCGAUGCAAACUGCGAAUACCGGAGAAUGUUAUCACGGGAGACACACGGCGGGUGCUAACGUCCGUCGUGAAGAGGGAAACAACCCAGACCGCCAGCUAAGGUCCCAAAGUCAUGGUUAAGUGGGAAACGAUGUGGGAAGGCCCAGACAGCCAGGAUGUUGGCUUAGAAGCAGCCAUCAUUUAAAGAAAGCGUAAUAGCUCACUGGUCGAGUCGGCCUGCGCGGAAGAUGUAACGGGGCUAAACCAUGCACCGAAGCUGCGGCAGCGACACUGUGUGUUGUUGGGUA
rnacentral:rRNA from 1 species